AUACGGAGGGUGCAAGCGUUGUUCGGAAUCACUGGGCGUAAAGGGCGCGCAGGCGGGUUGGUAAGUCAGAUGUGAAAGCCCACGGCUCAACCGUGGAAGUGCAUUUGAAACUGUCAGACUUGAGUACUAGAGGGGAAAGUGGAAUUCCCGGUGUAGAGGUGAAAUUCGUAGAUAUCGGGAGGAAUACCGGUGGCGAAGGCGACUGUCUGGCUAGAUACUGACGCUGAGGCGCGAAAGCGUGGGAGCAAACAGGAGUAGAAACCCCGGUAGUCC
rnacentral:rRNA from 1 species